rnacentral:lncRNA from 1 species
UUUGUGACCACCGCUAGGUGGCAGUGGUGUCGAGCGCUAAGGACGCGGGGGAGCGGGUGCUAUUCAAAACAAUGGUCGGCGUCGCGUCGUAGGAUCGUUUGCCUUGUUUUUUGAAAAGUUAAGCCCCUUUGGAGCAGAUUGGAAGGUUUCAGAAGAUGGAGGAAGAUGGCAAGAUCAAAGAGAUGGGUUCAGUUUCCACGGUGUGCUGACUUGAAUUGGCAUCCUGUGAUUUGUGAUGUGAAUUAUGAUGCACGCACUCGCAGGUGCACGCCCACUGCGGACACGUGUGACGUGACGGCAGCAGGCAGCCGAGGUGUGAACUGUGAACUGGCUCGGCCGAAAAUGUUUAAGGUAUUACAGCGUUUGUAACUGACUAACAUACCCACUACGGGCAUACCCAUUGAGCGGAUAAUGCGUUCGUGUGCAUCGUGUUUGCAUUUAUUCCCGAUAUACUCUGGUGGUAGGUGUGAAUUGGAAACCAGCUUGGUGCUACGACAUCGUUUAGUAGGCAUGUGGCACGUCGUUUCUCGAAACCUACCUAUCAGUCUAUGCAAUAAUAUGCAUUGUAUACAUUGUGUGUCAUCGUUCACCUUAGUUGUCAUUGAACCUGUGUUAAAUUCUGAACUUCAGGCCGAGACAGACUAUUUCCACAGUCAGGAAAUCGCACACGAGAACCUAUUCAAAUCCAUUAAGUUGCAAUAGCAUCAAUCGCACGCAAGGAGGUGCGUGUUAUGGAUGCGAGUGCGACCGGGGUUUAUUUGAAUAGGCUCUCGGUCUCGCACAUGAUUUCUGACUGCGGAAAGAAUCGGUUUCAGCCUGUACUCAGUAGGCAAUUCGCUCAUGCGACGGCAAAUAUAAGUUCAAUAUGGAAA